GUAUCGANUUUCAAAAAGUGCACAUUUUGCAUGGAUAGAGUUGUUUUCCUAAGAUUUGUGGUUAGUACCAACGGGGUGAAAGUCGAUGAAGAAAAGAUAAAAGCUAUAAAAGAAUGGCCAACACCUAAGACUAUAACUGAAGUUAGGAGUUUUCAUGGAUUUGUUAGUUUUUAUAGGCGAUUUGUAAGAGAUUUUAGCACCAUUACCACACCGUUGACUGAAAUAGUAAAGAAGAGUAUAGGUUUCCAUUGGGAAGAAUCUUAAGAAAUUGCAUUUAACACAAUUAAAGAUAAGCUAUGUAAAGCGUCUGUUUUGGCAUUACCAAAUUUUGAUAAAACAUUCGAGGUUGAGUGUGAUGCAUCAGGAAUAGGUAUAUGAGCAGUGUUAAUGCAGGAAAGGAGGCCUAUUGCUUACUUUAGCGAAAAGUUGAGUAGGGAGCAUUGAAUUAUCCGACAUAUGACAAAGAGCUGUAUUCACUUGUUCGAACAUUGGAGAUUUGGCAGCACUACUUAUGGCCAAAGGAAUUCGUGAUACACACCGAUCAUGAAUCUUUAAAGCAUUUGCGAGGUUAAGGUAAGUUGGACAAAAGACAUGCGAGAUGGAUGGAGUUUAUCGAGACAUUUCCCUAUGUCAUCAAGUACAAACAAGGUAACGAAAAUAUAGUUGCUGAUGCGUUGUCUCUAAGGUACGUGCUCUUAAAUUCAUUAAGUACUGAAUUACUUGGUUUCGAGCAUAUUAAGACAUGUAUGAAUCAGAUUGUGAUUUUUCUAGUAUUUAUGCUUCAUGUGACAAAGGUGCAUUUGAUAAAUUAUAUAGGCAUGAAGGAUAUUUGUUUAGGGAAGAUAAGUUGUGCAUUCCUAAUUGUUCUUUGCGUGAAUUAUUGGUAAGAGAAGCACAUAGGGGUGGUUUAAUGGGACACUUCGGGGUUCAAAAGACUUUAGACAUGUUAGGGAAACAUUUUUAUUGGCCUAAAAUGCGACAUGACGUAGAACAAAUAUGUGGAAAGUGCAUAACUUGUAAAAAGGCUAAGUCUAAGGUUCAACCCCAUGGUUUGUAUACUUCUUUGUCUAUACCUAGUGAACCUUGGGUAGACAUAUCUAUGGACUUUGUGUUAGGUUUGCCUAGGACAAAAAGGGGUCAGGAUUCAAUAUUUGUAGUGGUCGAUAGGUUUAGUAAGAUGGCGCACUUCAUACCAUGUCAUAAAACUGACGAUACUAUUAAUAUUGCAGACUUAUUCUUUAGGGAAAUAGUACGUUUACAUGGAGCACCUAAAAGUAUAGUAGCUGAUAGGGACGUGAAGUUUUUGAGUUAUUUUUGGCGUGUUUUGUGGAGUAAGUUAGGAACUAAGUUAUCAUUUUCUACAACUUGUCACCCACAAACAGAUGGACAAAUUGAGGUAGUUAAUCGAACUAUGACUCAACUACUUAGGACAGUGAUCAAUAAAAAUCUGAAAUCAUGGGAAAAGUGUUUACCAUUUAUAGAGUUUGCAUAUAAUCGAGCUACACAUUCCACUACUUCGUUUUCUCCUUUUCAAAUUGUUUAUGGUUUUAAUCCAUUAACACCUAUGGAUUUAAUGCCUUUGCCUGUGCAUGAACGAGGUAGCUUGGAUGGGAAACGAAAAGCCGAGUGGUGAAAACACUCCAUGAAAAGGUCAAGAUGCAGAUCGAAGAGAAAGGAAAGCUGAUUGCAUCAAAAGCAAAUAAAGGAAGAAGACGCGUUACAUUUGAGCCUAGAGAUUAGGUCUGGGUACAUUUCAGAAAAGAGCGUUUUCCAUAACAGAGGAAGUCAAAAUUGCAACCAUGAGGCGAUGGACCAUUUCAAAUCAUCGAGAGGAUCAAUGACAAUGCAUACAAAGUGGAUUUACCUAAUGAGUAUAAUGUUUCAACUACUUUUAAUGUAUUUGAUCUCUCUCUGUUUGAUGCAGGUUCAGAUUCGAGGACGAAUCCUUUUGAAGAGGGAGGGGAUGAUAUGAUCCAGGAGUCGAGCCCGACGAAGGGAAGUACGAGACGAGACCCGUUGAUAGUCGAUGGCAGAUCAAUGACACGAUCAAGGGCGAAGCAAGUGAAACAAGCGAUGGGAUUGCUCGUUCAAGAAACCAUUGAUGGAACUAUGUUCGAGACUCAAAUUGGAGCAACUUUCAUGUUUGGGUCGAAGGCCAAACCAACUUGAUCAAUUUGUUAUCAAGCGAUGAAAUCGGAGGCUGAAAACCGCACAAGCAAAACACCAUGCGGCCGCACGGUGGCAUACCAAAAAUCAAUAUGAUAUUUCUUAUUGAACCAUGCGACCGCAUGGAAAUACACCAUGCGGCCGUACAAGCCAAAAAUUUGGCGAAUUUUCCAAUUUUGGUCGAAUUUCCUAGUUUCGAUAGAAUUCUUAUGAAAUCAAAUUAUUACCAUAAUUUGAUGAAUUUUGGACGUUUUUACUUAUUAAUAUAAAUAGGAGAAUACUUUUCAUUGUCAGUACUUUUGACUUUUACUUGAAUAAUAUUAUAGAGAGAGAAUUUGUUCUUUCAAUUUCUU
rnacentral:lncRNA from 1 species